UACCAGCACCCCGAGUGGUCGGGACGUUUAUUGGGCCUAAAGCAUCCGUAGCCGGUUCUACAAGUCUUCCGUUAAAUCCAGCUGCUUAACAGAUGGGCUGCGGAAGAUACUAUGGAGCUAGGAGGCGGGAGAGGCAAGCGGUACUCAAUGGGUAGGGGUAAAAUCCGUUGAUCCAUUGAAGACCACCAGUGGCGAAGGCGGCUUGCCAGAACGCGCUCGACGGUGAGGGAUGAAAGCUGGGGGAGCAAACCGG
rnacentral:rRNA from 1 species